rnacentral:rRNA from 1 species
UACGUAGGGUGCGAGCGUUGUCCGGAAUUACUGGGCGUAAAGAGCUCGUAGGUGGUUUGUCGCGUUGUUCGUGAAAACUCACAGCUUAACUGUGGGCGUGCGGGCGAUACGGGCAGACUGGAGUACUGCAGGGGAGACUGGAAUUCCUGGUGUAGCGGUGGAAUGCGCAAAUAUCAGGAGGAACACCGGUGGCGAAGGCGGGUCUCUGGGCAGUAACUGACGCUGAGGAGCGAAAGCGUGGGGAGCGAACAGG